UACGGGGGGGGGCAAGCGUUGUUCGGAAUUACUGGGCGUAAAGGGCUCGUAGGCGGCCAACUAAGUCAGACGUGAAAUCCCUCGGCUUAACCGGGGAACUGCGUCUGAUACUGGAUGGCUUGAGGUUGGGAGAGGGAUGCGGAAUUCCAGGUGUAGCGGUGAAAUGCGUAGAUAUCUGGAGGAACACCGGUGGCGAAGGCGGCACUCUGGGACGGUACUGACGCUGAGACGCGAAAGCGUGGGGAGCGAACAGG
rnacentral:rRNA from 1 species